rnacentral:rRNA from 1 species
ACGUAUGGGGCAAGCGUUGUUCGGAAUUAUUGGGCGUAAAGGGCGUCUAGGCGGGGGAUUAAGUUAGAUGUGAAAGCUAUGGGCUCAACCCAUAAACUGCAUCUAAGACUGGUUCUCUUGAGUCCGGGAGAGGAGAGCGGAAUUCCAGGUGUGGCGGUGAGAUGCGUAGAUAUCUGGAAGAACACCAGUGGCGAAGGCGGCUCACUGGCCUAGGACUGACGCUGGAGCGGGGGAGUGUGGGGAGGGAAGAG